UAUUUUUUUACACUACUUCACUACCAGGGUGUUGCUUCCUAGCGUUAACUGUAGCUGUACAUUUCUCACAAGCAAAAUGUAAACAAUCUUAAACAUCUUAUUUACCCGCUGCAAAUACACUCCAUCAGGUUGUAUGUAAAAUGAAAACUCGAAUUAUAACCUUGGUACCAACUUAUAUACGACUGUAAAAAUAAAAGCUUGUUGUACAUCUGCUUUUUAUUUUCGUACUCAAAAGAUAUUCGUUCAUUCUUGAUAUCUAAGUACAUUCAAUUCAAACUAUUCUCACAUGGUCUCUUAAAAACAUUACCAAUGCCUCAAUUGUCGUUCCACAUAAAAUCCGACUUUAUGUACAUAGCGAGUGAACUAAACAUAAAAAGUAUUCAAAAAGAAAUGUUAGGGUAUGAUAUUUCAAAUAAUAGUAUGUCUUUAUACUAAAGAAUGUUACAAUAGGUUUAAAAAGAUACCAGGUUCUUGGUAAAAAGAUGAACGUAAACGGUUUCAUGCCUUGGGACAAAAUUCAACGACCGCAUACUUGCCAGUUCGUUCCCAAUGAGGUAAGUCUUUUGCAAUCUUUUCAUAAAGUCCAUCAGGAAGUCCAACAACAACAUCACUAUUUCCUGUUAGAAAUUAUUCAAAUCAAUAUACAAUCAAUUUUACAUACGCUUUGCAUGUGCGAAGUGCGCAAGCAUUUAUGGCAUUUGCAAUGGGUCCGAGGGUUUUUCCAAAUGGUGUAGUCCUUGGCCAAAGGCAAUCCCCGGUCAAUUUCCUGUAGUUUAGGUCACCUAUUCGCUCAUUAGUAAAA